rnacentral:rRNA from 1 species
GAGGAAUAUUGGUCAAUGGACGAAAGUCUGAACCAGCCAAGUAGCGUGCAGGAUGACGGCCCUAUGGGUUGUAAACUGCUUUUGUAUGGGGAUAAAGUCAAUCACGUGUGAUUGUUUGCAGGUACCAUACGAAUAAGGACCGGCUAAUUCCGUGCCAGCAGCCGCGGUAAUACGGAAGGUUCGGGCGUUAUCCGGAUUUAUUGGGUUUAAAGGGAGCGUAGGCCGGAGAUUAAGUGUGUUGUGAAAUGUAGACGCUCAACGUCUGACUUGCAGCGCAUACUGGUUUCCUUGAGUACGCACAACGUUGGCGGAAUUCGUCGUGUAGCGGUGAAAUGCUUAGAUAUGACGAAGAACUCCGAUUGCGAAGGCAGCUGACGGGAGCGCAACUGACGCUGAAGCUCGAAGGUGCGGGUAUCGAACAGGAUUAGAUACCCUGGUAGUCCGCACAGUAAACGAUGGAUGCCCGCUGUUGGUACCUGGUAUCAGCGGCUAAGCGAAAGCAUUAAGCAUCCCACCUGGGGAGUACGCCGGCAACGGUG